GACAGAGGUGCCGAGCGUUAGGCGGAAUCACUGGGCUUAAAGCGUGUGUAGGCGGGUCGUUAAGUGUCUUGUGAAAUCCCCCGGCUCAGCCGGGGAAUGGCUGGGCAUACUGGCGAUCUUGAGCAGUCUAGGGGCAGAUGGAACAAGUGGUGGAGCGGUGAAAUGCGUAGAUAUCACUUGGAACGCCAAAGGUGAAAACAGUCUGCUGGGGACUUGCUGACGCUGAGACACGAAAGCCAGGGGAGCGAACGGG
rnacentral:rRNA from 1 species